rnacentral:piRNA from 1 species
UGCUCAAGACAGGGUCUACGUCUCAUUA